GGCAUAUGGAGGUUCCUAGGCUAGGGGUCUAAUUGGAGCUACAGCUGACAGUCUAUGCCACAGCCACAGCAAUGCCAGAUGCAAGCCACGUCUGCGACCUACACCUCAGCUCACAGCUAUGCCAGAUCCUUAACCCACUGAGCAAGGCCAAGAAUCGAACAUGCAACCUCAUGGUUCUUAGUCAGAAACUGAUGACGGAUCACAAUGUCGAGGAGAAAGAGGGGGUCAAGAGCACCACAUUCUGAGGAUAGCCACAAAUGAAGGGGGCCAAAUAUCCACUCUAAGAAUGACUACAGGCAGGCAAACAGUCUCUGCUACCUCCAACUAUUAUCUGUAAAAAGAUGUCAGCAUCCCACCCCAUCCCCUUGUCAUUCACUAUCAGCUUUCUAUAAACAGAACCCACACCUCUUUGCCUGUGAGACUUCUCCAUGGAAGCACGUUCAGCCUGUGCCUACAGUAGCCUGGAAGUACAGAGAGCUGUCAUUUCUCCCAGAGAAGCCUUGAGCUAAAGAUGGGAAGGAAUUUAUAGGAAAAUAAAGCCACAUCCUUGUUUUCAGGAAAGACAUGAAGACAUGGAAACCUCCAUGAAGUUUCACCUGUUUGCCUCUCAUUUGGAAAUGUCACUUUAUAUGCUUAGAAAAGUCCUUAAAAUCAUAGGAUUGGCUAAGCGGUUGUAACGGAGAACCCUAAAUUUCAAUGACUUAUCACAACACAGGUUUUCUCACCCACACCAAGUCCUUGUGGGUGGGGCACCUUUGCUGGGUGGCUCUCUUCCACUCAGUCAGCCAAAGAUUCCAUUUGGAGGCUCCACAAUUUCAACACACAGCUUCCACAGAUGCUGCCAAAGGGAAGCGGAAAGUGGAUGAGACAUGCUGGCUUUUAACUAUCUUGGCCUGGAAGCUCAUCAGUCCAUUCAACGCCCAUUGGCCAGAACAAGUCACAUGGCUCCAACCUUACUGCCCACUCCUUGAAGGAGGACUUCAAACCCCAGCUCAAAGAGCACCUCCCCCAGAAGACCUGCACAUCACAUGCAUGUCACAUGCCUGGCUUUAGGUCCGGUACCUUGGCUUUACCUCACAUGCCUGGCCUUGUCUCACAUCCCCUGGUUUAAAUCAGGUUCUCUGGAUUUACGUCAGGGCCCCCAGCUUUACGUCAGGUCCUUUGGCUUUACAACAGGCGCCCCAGCUUUAUGUCAUAUGCCCAGACUCUUUCCAAGAAGAAUAAAGAGCUUCCUACACCUUUGUGCGUCCCACAGCCCUUUGACACAGUCUCUAAUUCAUGCUUCUCAGAUUGCUUCAUAAUAUUCUCUCCCAUUAUUCUGUGAGACCCACAAAAGAAAAGGGAAAAAAAAAAAAAAAAAGCUUGGUUCUUUUCUUGUCCCCAUCAUAGUGCCCGGGAAGUAGCUAGGGUUUAAUAAAUGUUUCGCGAAUGAAUAAAUGAGUGAAUGAAUAAAUUAUGGUUUCCUCAAUACCUAUGACCUUGCAAGUUUCCUGGUACAUCAAAUCACAGGGGCACACAUUCAGGUCUCCACAAAACCCCAUCCUGAACUCUCUGAUGUGGAAAUGCUCCUUGACUACAUUUCUCCUCCAGGUAUGGCAAGGAAACAAAGUCAAGGAAAUAGCAGAUAACAGUAAAAUCCAGGAUUAGGAGCCUUCAAUUAGGAGAGUAGCACUCAGAUGCCAAACACAGGUUAGGAAUAAAAACUGGACCUCCAGGCAUUAACACGCUGUCCAGCAUGGCUGAACUCCCCACCACACCACCCUCCUAGAUCCCACCAACACCCAGCUUUAAGCCCCUGGGGAACCUGACAUUUCCAAGCCCACAGUCCAAACCUUCACAAGAGAUGAGCUGAGCCAAGCUGAUCCCCGACUGGCAAGAAGGAAGGAAGGAACUAGAGAUUUCUCAGCUGAGGAGCCUCUGAGAAAAGCAAAAAUAUAAGCUUCCUAAGAUUCAUCACUCCUGCCAUAUGCUGUGACUUUUCCAUUCAUACUAGAAAUUGUGGGAAUUUCAGCUUCUGAAUAUAACAUCGGGAAUUAAAUAAGAGUUUAUAAAUAAGUUCUGACUCAGAACAGGGCCCUUGUUAGGGGCCUUCAAGCUCUGUGGGAACUGACGCCCCAACCAAGGCCUUUACCAUCUGGGACAGUCCUCAUCAAGAAGGAAGUCCCCACUGUCUUCCUAUGACCUUGUUACUGCCAUCCUUGCUACCUUUCUACUGGACCUCAUACGCCCUGGGACUUACAGCUUGUGUCGAAAAUUAAACUGGGUUAUGCCAAGGCAAGAGCUGGGAGGAGGAAUGGAAGAUGUAAUGUGGAAAGUAUAAUAGAAAACUAAAGCAGGGUAGGAUUUGUGCUUUGGCCGAAGCAGGGCCACCCUUUGGGUAUAUGGGGCAAUCGAACACAUUAGCAAUUUGAGUCACCCAGGAUUAGAGUCAGCACCAUUCUGGCAGCCUGGCCUCACUGAUCCUGCAAAAGACGUACUGUAUUUUCCAAUGUGAGUAAUAUUCUUUCCAGACUGCCCUCCCGAAACCAAGCAACUAGGAAACCUCAUAGGCAAAAAUCCUUGAGCACAGGGCAUCUGGUAGACUUGAUACUGGCAUUAAGGGUCAGAGAGAGCCCUGGGGAUAAGAAUCCGCUCUGGAUCCAGAGCAUCCAGCUGAGAUGGUUACAUAAUUAGAGAAAAUUUGAGUCAGAGAAAAAUACGAAAAAGAUAGUAAAUGUCACCUGUAGUAUUUCCGCCUAGGAUUUCCAAUGAUGAAAUUUAACUCUAUCGAAAACUAGUAUUUUUUUCCUAUGGCUACAUAAUUUGCACAGAUUCAGGACCAGCUACAUAAUUUUCAGGGCCCAGUGCAAAAUGCAAAUGUGGGGCCCUUUUUUAAAAAGUUAUUUAGGGAGUUCCCGUCGUGGCGCAGUGGUUAACGAAUCCGACUAGGAACCAUGAGGUUGCAGGUUCAAUCUCUGGCCUUGCUCAAUGGGUUAACGAUCCGGCGUUGCCAUGAGCUGUGGUGUAGGUUGCAGACGCGGCUCAGAUCCUGUUUUGCUGUGGCUCCGGCGUAGGCUGGCAGCUACAGCUCCGUUUAGACCCCUAGCCUGGGAACCUCCAUAUGCCGCAGGAGCGGCCCAAGAAAUGGCAAAAAGACAAAAAAAUAAAAAUAAAGUAUUGGAAAAAAAAAAGUUAUUUAGACUUUCAAAGCAGUAACAGCAAAGAAUUAAACAGAAGGGCCUUUCUAAGCAUGGGUCUCUGUGUGACCACACUAGCCACAGUCCAGGAAGCCAGUCCUGAUUGCUGACCUGGGUUGAUCCCAAGCACCAAAGGAGGACUUGCGAAAUUUUGAGGAAGGUGCUCCAAAAUGGGGGGGUGAGGAUUGAGAUCAUUCUUGCCUAGGCCUAAGUAUAGUAUUGUGCCAAGAUUAUAGAGAUACAGGUUAUGUUUCAAAUUAAUUUACUACUGUUUGUCCCCAAAUCCCCACAUAUCGGGGAACUCAUGACAGAAAGGGCUAUGAGGCACUAAACCAGUAGAAUAUUACACAGUCAUCAAAAAUGAUUUUUACAAUAGGCUUCCAAUAAAACAGAGUGAAAUUAUUGCAAUAUAGUGUCAAGUGAAUUAAAUAUGACCACAACUAUGUAAAUAUGUAUGAACAGAAAAAAAAGAGCUAGUUUUAAAUAGCAUAAAAUUUCAACAGGGGGUAAUCCCAGGUGAAAAUAUUACAGGUGACAUUCAUUAUCUUCUUUAUGUUUUCCUAUGACUCAAAUGUUCUCCAAAAAACAAAUACAAAUAUUAUAAGGAAAACAAAAUUUCAAGAAUAUAAGUGAAAUGUGAACAAAUUGUAGUUAUAUAUAGUAUCUCAAGGAUUCUUGCUUCUGAUGAGUUCUUAGAAACAUUUUAUUAGGAAGUGUUAUAAGAAGUGGACUUACGCUAAUCAGAGUGUUCUUUAUUCCUUAAUGGUAAGAAAAGUAAAACAUUAUGUAAUACUGAUUUCUGCAAUCCAUUUUUACAUGAUAAUAUUAAACACUAAAAACAUAUUUUGAGUUAUUUCCACGUCAAUUUACCUAAUGUCAACCCAUCCCCUUGUGUCCUUUGAAGGCAGUUGUCACUGCUCUAGAUAUGGGAACUAAUGAUAUUAAGAACAACUGAGAGCCUGGGAGACAGAUGUUUGGAUAUUGAUAUAGCAAAGCAAAAAAUUAUGCACUCCAAGAUAUACUAAAACUGUAACUUCCUGUUUCUCUAUUUCUAACCUUUAUUUCCUAAUGAUCUCUUUCACUCCAUUACCACAAAAUCAUUAGGCGAUAGGGUGUGCAUUAUAAAAAAAUACCAUAGACUAGUUGACUUGAACAGUAAAUAUUUAUUUCUUACAGUUCUGGAGGCUGGGAAUCCAAAAGCAAAACCCUGGCAGGUUCAGUGUCUGGCAAAAUCCGCUUCCUGGUUUAUAGACAGCUGCCUUCAGGAUGAUGCUCAAAGGGCAGAGGAGAGGGAGGAGAAGGGUUGGGGUAGGGAGGGAGAGGGAGGAAACAAGCUCUUCUUAUAAGGGCACUAAUCCCUUCAAGAGGACUCCACCCUCAUAAUCUAAUUCCCUCCAAACACCCUCACAUUGGGAACGAGGAUUUCCACAUAUGAAUGGAGCCUUAGUAAGAGUGGAACAAAUAUUCAGUCCACAGCACAGGGGCCAGAGAAGUUGAUUUCGCCAGUUAAAGACUACCAGUCUUUGCUAGUUUAAAGCAAUCUCAUUCAGAUUUGGUCAGUAUAAACUCAAAUUUUUUGAGGCCCUUUACUCAUAAAAGCUCAGCUGAGAGAGAUAAGAGACAUGGAGGAGUUAAAAGUUAAGCAAAAUACUCAUUGCUUUAGAUGCUUACAAACCUGAUCUAAGCGGAAGAUAGGAUUAAUUAGGAGACACUGUUAUGGCAUGAUAUCCAAUGCUUUUGCUGACCUCUGCUUUUACAUUACCCUAUAGGCCUAUUAGGAGGGUAUAAGAAACACCUAAAGGAAACUUAUUUGGGGACUAAUGCAAGGACAGUGAGGCCUGGGUGUCAGUUAGGAAAACCCACAAGAUACAUUUCUCUCAGAAACGUUCCUUAGAAAUAGUUAAUCUGUUUUGUCUUAUGGAUACUCUGACCCUAGAAAAUAUCACAAUUUCCUCUUUGCUUUGACUGUUGGGAAGCUCAGAACCAAAUUUAGAGUUCAGUGAUAGUAUGCGUGUAAUUUAUGAGGAGUUCCCAUUGGGGUUCAGUGGUAAAGAACCCAAUCAGUAUCCAUGAGGAUGCAAGUUCGAUCCCUGACCCCGCUCAGUGGGUUAAGGAUCUGGCAUUGCCCUGAGCUGUGGUGAAGCUCACAGAUGCGGCUCGGAUCCCACAUCUGUGUGGCUGUGGCAUAGGCAGGCAGCUGCAGCUCCCAUUCGACCCCUAGCCUGGGGACUUCCAUAUGCUGUACCUGUGGCCCUAAAAAGCAUUUUAAAAAUAAAUAAAUAAAUAAAUAAUGUGUGUUUUGUUCACUAACCUUACAUUUAGUUCAAUGGAGUUUUCCUACUCUUUUUUUUUUUUUUCUUAGUCCCAGUUUCCUCAAUACUAAGUUUCUAUCUUAUUAUAUGUACUCUGUAAACAACCUCACAAUUGCUUUGAAACAAUGAAGCUGUCCUUAAAUAUCCAGCACCCUCACAGUUACAGGAACACUCUAUCUUGUAGAAUCCUCUCGUAGGGACCUCUGUGGAAGAUCUUUACAUCAUGUCCAUCUCUCCCAUUAGACAGCACUUUUUUUU
rnacentral:lncRNA from 1 species